GGCUUGAUGGUAUAGCGGGAACACAGCUGUUCAAUAUCUGAAGGACCAAUGAAUUACAACAGGAGUCCAUUGUUCGAUUCAAGGUCAAGCCA